rnacentral:misc_RNA from 1 species
GUACAUUAGUGCUUGCGCACGACAAUAAAUUUCAUUACAUUCGAGUGUGUGUAAAAAUCCUCUGCCAGCCGAAGCUAGCAAGAGGCCAAAGGUUCACAGGGUAUUGGAUGAAAGUCACCAACGUGCACUUGCCGGAGCCAGCACAGAAGGCAACGAUUCACAGUCAAUAAUGAUCCUUCCGCAGGUUCACCUACGGAAA